rnacentral:rRNA from 1 species
UGAGUAACACGUAUCCAACCUGCCGUCUACUCUUGGCCAGCCUUCUGAAAGGAAGAUUAAUCCAGGAUGGCAUCAUGAGUUCACAUGUCCGCAUGAUUAAAGGUAUUUUCCGGUAGACGAUGGAGAUGCGUUCCAUUAGAUAGUAGGCGGGGUAACGGCCCACCUAGUCAACGAUGGAUAGGGGUUCUGAGAGGAAGGUCCCCCGCAUUGGAACUGAGACACGGUCCAA